UACGUAGGGUGCAAGCGUUAAUCGGAACUACUGGGCGUAAAGCGUGCGCAGGCGGCUUUGCAAGACAGAUGUGAAAUCCCCGGGCUUAACCUGGGAACUGCAUUUGUGACUGCAAGGCUGGAGUGCGGCAGAGGGGGAUGGAAUUCCGCGUGUAGCAGUGAAAUGCGUAGAUAUGCGGAGGAACACCGAUGGCGAAGGCAAUCCCCUGGGCCUGUACUGACGCUCAUGCACGAAAGCGUGGGGAGCAAACAGG
rnacentral:rRNA from 1 species